AACAUCGCGCACCUGCGGGAACCUGCGGAAGGAUCAUUACCGAGUUUACAAACUCCCAAACCCUUUGUGAACCUUACCUAUCGUUGCUUCGGCGGGAUCGCCCCGGGCCGGCCCUUCACGGGGCCUCCGGAACCAGGCGCCCGCCGGAGAACCCAAACUCUUUGUUUUUAUGGUUUUCUCCUCUGAGUGGAUUAUAAACAAAUAAAUCAAAACUUUUAACAAUGGAUCUCAGAUCGGAAG
rnacentral:misc_RNA from 1 species